rnacentral:misc_RNA from 1 species
GGGGGUUUCGUCGGUGGCGCGGUGGGGAGGAGAGCUGAUUUGUAUGAGGGACGGAUCACCGGCUAUUUUAUCCUGGCCUGUUUGGUUGGCUCUUUGGGUGGAUCGCUUUUCGGAUAUGAUCUCGGUGUUUCAGGUGGAGUGACCUCCAUGGAUGAUUUCUUGAAAGAAUUCUUCCCCAGUACAUAUCGCAGAAAGCAAGCCCACCUCAACGAAACCGACUACUGCAAAUACGACAAUCAGCUCCUCACCCUCUUCACAUCUUCGCUCUAUAUUGCUGGACUCAUUUCCACCUUCGGGGCCUCAUACGUGACACGAAAGUAUGGU